rnacentral:tRNA from 1 species
AGUCCUGCAGUAGAUGCCUACGUUGGAUUGCAAAUCCAAAGGUGGAGACUAACUUCUCCCGGGACUU